UUCGAAACAGAGAAGAGAAGGGAGAGUGAGAUCAGAAAGAGAGAGAGAGAGAAAAGAUGAGAUCGGCAGCGGUCGAUCGUAGUGGUCGUGGCCGACCGAUGGUGUAGCUUGAAAUAGCGGUUGUGAAUCGGCCAUGGCAGCGAUGGCAUGAAGAGAUGGAGGCUGGGCGAUGAAACGAUGAAGGCCGACGGAGCUAACGCACUGGGAUGCGCAGAGGCAGCCGGCGAGGGCAUGACGAGCAGUUACAAGAGGCUGUUUGGCCGGCCGAUGAUGCUGGAUUGCAACGACAGUGGUUGCAGCUACCAUGGCAGUGCGCAGAGCGGCGCGUGGUGCUGCUUGCAGCAGAGGCCAAUCGGUGUAGCGCUGCCGGUGAUGGCGGCUUGGGAAACAGCGGUGGUCGGAGGGCCGGAUGGCAAUGGCCGUCCGGGCCAUGUGCAGUUGCAGGCGGGCCAGACGCGCAGAAGAAGAAGAAGGAGCAGGCGCGCAGGAGAGAUGAAAAGAAAGGAGGAAGAAGAGAAGAAAAUAAGAAAUUAAAGAAAAUAAGAAAAUUUGGAAAAAAAGGAGAAAAUAAGGGAAAAAAUAUCAAAAAAAUUCAAAAAAAGGGAGAAAAUUCUGAAAAUUAAUUUGGGACUCGAGGAGUGUGUCGGAAGCUUGAAAAAAAGGUUUUGAGCAUAAGGUGAUGUCCCAUAAGGCGACGCCGGUGCGAGCGUUUGGCCGAUUUUCUUUUCCAGGUUCGAUGAGGGUCGACCUAGGAGGCAGUGAUCCUAGAAGAGUUCGAAGUUCGGGCUAGCAUUCUCGUCCAUGGCAGAGAUCAGGUUUCGAGCUAGAUGUUGCAAGUCUAGAUGCAAGCAAGGAUUAUAUCGGGAGGUUAAAGUGGUGACUAGCGUUGUCGCAUCGUAAAUUGUAUUAUCUCUUGUAUGUGAAUAUGUAUAUAUCCUUGUGGGUGAAUGUGUAUGUUGUUGGGCGCUGGAUGGUAUCCAGUUUGUUGUAAUCGGUAUAAUGUAGUAUAUGAUUGUGUAGACUUUUGGUUGUUAGUGGCUUGUUUGUUGGAGCCAAGUUUUAGGAUCAGGUAAGAAUCAAAGAGGUA